AGAGUUUGAUCAUGGCUCAGAACGAACGCUGGCGGCAGGCUUAACACAUGCAAGUCGAACGCUCGUAGCAAUACGGGAGUGGCAGACGGGUGAGUAACGCGUGGGAACAUACCCUCCGGUUCGGAAUAGCUCAGGGAAACUUGGAUUAAUACCGGAUACGGCCGAGAGGCGAAAGAUUUAUCGCCGGAGGAUUGGCCCGCGUUCGAUUAGCUAGUUGGUGAGGUAACGGCUCACCAAGGCGAUGAUCGAUAGCUGGUCUGAGAGGAUGAUCAGCCACAUUGGGACUGAGACACGGCCCAAACUCCUACGGGAGGCAGCAGUGGGGAAUAUUGGACAAUGGGCGCAAGCCUGAUCCAGCCAUGCCGCGUGAGUGAUGACGGCCUUAGGGUUGUAAAGCUCUUUCGCUCGGGACGAUAAUGACGGUACCGAGAUAAGAAGCCCCGGCUAACUUCGUGCCAGCAGCCGCGGUAAUACGAAGGGGGCUAGCGUUGUUCGGAAUUACUGGGCGUAAAGCGCGUGUAGGCGGGUCUUUAAGUCAGGGGUGAAAUGCCAAGGCUCAACCUUGGAACUGCCUUUGAUACUGAGGACCUUGAGUCCGGGAGAGGUGAGUGGAAUUGCGAGUGUAGAGGUGAAAUUCGUAGAUAUUCGCAAGAACACCAGUGGCGAAGGCGGCUCACUGGCCCGGAACUGACGCUGAGACGCGAAAGCGUGAGGAGCAAACAGGAUUAGAUACCCCCGUAGUCC
rnacentral:rRNA from 1 species